AACGAACGCUGGCGGCAUGCCUAACACAUGCAAGUCGAACGAGAGCACCGGGAGUAGUGGCGCAUGGGGGUGUAGCGCGUGGGAAGCUGCCCUUAGGUACGGAAUAACUCUCCGACAGGGGUGAUAACGCCGGACAAUGUCUUCUGACCAAAGAUUUAUCGAACUUGGGUGGGCAGGAGUUGGAUUAGCUAGUGGGUAGGGUAAAAGCCGACCAAGGGGUCAAUCAAUAGCUGGUUUGAGAGGAUGAUCAGCCACCCUGGGACUGAGACACGGCCCGGACUCCUACGGGAGGGAGCAAUGCGGAAUAUUGGACCACGGGCGGAGGCAUGAUGCAGCUAGGCCGGGUGAGCGAUGAAGGCCUGAGAGUUGUAAAGCUCUUUUACCCGGGAUGAUAAUGACGGUACCGAGAGAAUAAGCACCGGCUAACUCCGUG
rnacentral:rRNA from 1 species